CUGCUAUUGUUAACCGCUAUUGCUGUUACUGUUAUCAUAGGAGGACCUCAAUGUCUCCUCAACUUUGAGCCAGUCUCUCUACUUGCUCUCAGCCCAGAGGAGCUCAGCUUUGAUUCCUAGCCUCCCUCCUCUGCUGCAGCCUCGCCCCUGGCCCUGUAGCUCGACUGGGGUGGGGGCAGGCAGAGUCCCCUCCACCCCAGGUGCCCACUUCUGCAGGACGUCUCAAGCAUGUGCCCUGCAGCCGGGCCCAAACCCCUGCACCUUCCUUUCCCAGAGGCAUCUAUCCUCAGGACCCAGCUAACUGGUCCCCCGAGUGUGUGUGGGCCCGACUGACGCCCUGCUGGUGCCCAGUCACUCCGUCCUGGCCUUCCCACCCCUUGGUUGGGGUCUGGCUGCCCAGGGAUGAGAACACUGACGCAGGGAGAGAUGUUGAUGGAGCAACUGGUAUUUGAACCUAGUCCCCAUCUGACUCUAGCUUCUGGCAAAUGCUCAGCCCAGGAACUCCAAGGAGAGUCUGCAGGAGACCCCAGGAGGGGAGGGAUUGCAGUGGAGGUUGACGUCGUGGAUGGUCCCAUGGGAACGUCUCCCUGCCCGGCCACAUGGGGCAGGGAUACUCAUCACAGCAUUGGC
ensembl:lncRNA